rfam:Puccinia graminis f. sp. tritici CRL 75-36-700-3 supercont2.60 genomic scaffold, whole genome shotgun sequence.
GGACAGAUGGCCGAGUGGUCUAAGGCGCCGUCUUAAGGAGUUCGCCAGGACGUCGAGAGGCGCCAGGACGUCGAGAGGCGAUCCGGCGGUAGUCCGGCGGUCUUCGGGCGUGGGUUCGAAUCCCACUCUGUUCA